AUUGGUUGCCAAUCAGAGGCUGAAGUGA
rnacentral:piRNA from 1 species